rnacentral:rRNA from 1 species
GACGAACGCUGGCGGCGUGCUUAACACAUGCAAGUCGAACGGAAAGGCCCUGCUUUUGUGGGGUGCUCGAGUGGCGAACGGGUGAGUAACACGUGAGUAACCGGCCCUUGACUUUGGGAUAACUUCAGGAAACUGGGGCUAAUACCGGAUAGGAGCUCCUGCUGCAUGGUGGGGGUUGGAAAGUUUCGGCGGUUGGGGAUGGACUCGCGGCUUAUCAGCUUGUUGGUGGGGUAGUGGCUUACCAAGGCUUUGACGGGUAGCCGGCCUGAGAGGGUUACCGGCCACAGUGGGACUGAGAUACGGCCCAGACUACUACCGGAGGCAGCAGUGGGGAAUAUUGCACAAUGGGCGGAAGCCAGAUGCAGCAACGCCGCGUGCGGGAUGACGGCAUUCGGGUUGUAAACCGCUUUCGCCUGUGACGAAGCGUGAGUGACGGUAAUGGGUAAAGAAGCACCGGCUAGCUACGUG